rnacentral:lncRNA from 1 species
GUGACGAUGCCCAUUUGGGUUUUAGGGAAACCCAAUGGACUUUGGACAAGGCUAUCUUAAAGAGUCAUUAUGCAGACAACAUAACUGACUCGGCUAGGUUUGACCAUGAUGUAUGCACAGUUAAAUAGAGUAAGGUUUCUGUAGGGUUUUAGACUGAUACCUUUGAGCAGAAAACUCAAGGGGGAAAGGCAUGGAACCGUCGACUACACCAUUGAUCGAUUGGUUUUACAGUAAAUAAGACUUUUUCGGAUUUAGGGGCUAAUAAUAUCGGAAGAGUACAACCACUCAUUAUAAGCGUUGCUAUAAAAUUUGUUUGGUACGAGUGGAAUAUGAUGUUGAGCAUGAUGAUGCAAUAAUUAAAAGCAUGUUGCCAUGUAUUUGCAUGUUAGGAAAUCAGUAAAUACAACAGUUUCAUAAUUUAAAGCAGUAGUAAAGGAAGUAGAAAAGGAGAGAAAUAAAAGACAAGUCAGUUGUGCAAUUGAAAAGGGAAUUUGAAUGCGUAAAGGAAUUAAACAAGUAAUUGCACAUAAAGAGGUAUAAAUUCACUAUAGCAGUCCGAAAUGGUAAAAGCCUAGAUAGUCCCCAGCAGAGUUGUCAUGCUGUCGCGCCCCCUUUUUCUCGCAAAAUUGGGUUGCUGACAUUAUUAGGGACAACUCGUUCCUUUUGAUAACUGGGUUUGCAUUUGAAGAGUCCCCACCUAAUGAUUAAGGUGCAUUAGGAAAAAAAUAGAGAUUUUAUUCUAAGUUUGUUUGAAUAAGCAGAGAUUGGGUAAAGGCUUGAAAUUAUCCUAAGGGGGAGGGUUAGCCACCCCUCAGGAUCUAAUAGUGUGGUUCCCGGCCAGACAGUUAUUGUGAAUAAGCAGAUAAGGCUCAAAUAAGAGGGAAUUUUAAUACAUAAUGGUUUGAAAGUAGACAAUGUUUGAAAGAACCAUUAAAAGAGCUAAUUUUGAUAAGGAUUUACAGUGCUAAAAGAGAAUAAAGAAUAAAGAAAAUGGGUCAUAGGUUUAUUAAAUAUAUGGAUCAUCCCACACAAUAUCUUGUAAUUGCUUCUGAAUUAGGGGCAACAUGUGACAUUAUUGCAUGGUCAUCAUAUCCAUAUCUACCCUUCCUACACCGUUAUGGUAUUAAAGCGCGGAUUGGUCUCGAUUACUUAUUGCAUGCUAUUACCCGUCCCGUUCCUAUUAGUCCCGGAUGCACUUAGGAGUACUAAUCCCAAAGAGAAGUUUUCAAAUCAAGACAAGUAACAGGGAGAUCAGAGUCAAUCAAAGAGAGAGUCAUAAGUCAUAUUGUAUCAUAUAGAGUGAGACAUGAGUAGCCAAACACAACAAGCAAUGAGGCAGUCUUGACCAGUCAAGACGAACACAAGCCCAUAAGCAUAAGUUAGGCAUAAGUAAAGGCUAAUGUAAAUUAGGCAUAAGUAACUCAGUAGAAGCACAUUUGAAGCGAGAUAGUCACAGAAACUUAAAUAAGAAUAGGCCCUUCAGAAAAUCAAACAAAGAAUCCUAGAAAAAUUAGGGCUUUAAACAUAGGCGAGUUAAAGAGAUGAUAGAACCCCAGAAUCAGGAGAAUCACAUAAAGGACACAAGAGAUUUCGAAAAAGAACUUCCGCACUUGAACGAACAAUCUCAAACCCAAAACCAUAAGAUUUUCCAUAAUAUAUGGGUUUUAAAAAUAGGAUAAAUAGGCAGAUUGGACAAAAGUCAGGCAAAUAAACAUUCAAUUAAUAAACAGUUAAAAGAAAUUAAGUGUUUUAACAUGCAAACUCAGGCAGAAGGAUAAUACGAGAAAACACAUCAAAAUAUAUCAAAAAUCAAAGAAAGGUUUCGAAAUAACUUAACAAAACCAUAAUCAGAAGGAUAAGGAAUUUUAAAAGGAACUUUGAGAAAAACGCUUAAAAUUUCAGAGUAGACAUAGGUCUGAAACAAAUCUAAGAGAAAUCGAGAGAACCUUGAAGGUUAGGGUUUUAGAGGAACCCAAAAUGGUGAGAAAGGAUUUGAAAACCAUCGAUCUAAGCAGGAAAGUCAAGAGUCAGACUCGAAUAGCCAUGGCUAGCCAGAAAAAGGUCAGAGGCCACCAGAGAACAACUGUAAACUGAAAUUGACCAAGGUCUGGACCAAGCUCUUGAAAGACCUAGCCCUGAAACCAUAAUAAUUGAACGCGUAGAAGCCAUGGGAGGUGGAUGCAGGCCUCCAAUGACCUUGGAACCCAUGGAUUUGGGAGUUUUGUUGAGGUUGUAGUUGAUGUCGGCGGCUAGGGUUGUAGAGAGUACGAGAGAGAAUUGAGGGAGAAUG